AUGAACGCUAGCUACAGGCUUAACACAUGCAAGUCGAGGGGCAGCAUGAACUUAGCUUGCUAAGUUUGAUGGCGACCGGCGCACGGGUGAGUAACACGUAUCCAACCUGCCGAUGACUCGGGGAUAGCCUUUCGAAAGAAAGAUUAAUACCCGAUGGCAUAGUUCUUCCGCAUGGUAGAACUAUUAAAGAAUUUCGGUCAUCGAUGGGGAUGCGUUCCAUUAGGUUGUUGGCGGGGUAACGGCCCACCAAGCCUUCGAUGGAUAGGGGUUCUGAGAGGAAGGUCCCCCACAUUGGAACUGAGACACGGUCCAAACUCCUACGGGAGGCAGCAGUGAGGAAUAUUGGUCAAUGGACGAGAGUCUGAACCAGCCAAGUAGCGUGAAGGAUGACUGCCCUAUGGGUUGUAAACUUCUUUUAUACGGGAAUAAAGUGAGGCACGUGUGCCUUUUUGUAUGUACCGUAUGAAUAAGGAUCGGCUAACUCCGUGCCAGCAGCCGCGGUAAUACGGAGGAUCCGAGCGUUAUCCGGAUUUAUUGGGUUUAAAGGGAGCGUAGGCGGACGCUUAAGUCAGUUGUGAAAGUUUGCGGCUCAACCGUAAAAUUGCAGUUGAUACUGGGUGUCUUGAGUACAGUAGAGGCAGGCGGAAUUCGUGGUGUAGCGGUGAAAUGCUUAGAUAUCACGAAGAACUCCGAUUGCGAAGGCAGCUUGCUGGACUGUAACUGACGCUGAUGCUCGAAAGUGUGGGUAUCAAACAGGAUUAGAUACCCUGGUAGUCCACACAGUAAACGAUGAAUACUCGCUGUUUGCGAUAUACAGUAAGCGGCCAAGCGAAAGCGUUAAGUAUUCCACCUGGGGAGUACGCCGGCAACGGUGAAACUCAAAGGAAUUGACGGGGGCCCGCACAAGCGGUGGAGUAUGUGGUUUAAUUCGACGCAACGCGAAGAACCUUACCAGGUCUUGACAUUGAUCGCGAUCUGCAGAAAUGCGGAGUUCUUCUUCGGAAGACGAGAAAACAGGUGGUGCACGGCUGUCGUCAGCUCGUGUCGUGAGAUGUUGGGUUAAGUCCCGCAACGAGCGCAACCCCUGUACUUAGUUGCCAGCAUGUAGAGAUGGGAACUCUAAGUAGACUGCCGCGAAUAACGCGGAGGAAGGUGGGGAUGACGUCAAAUCAUCAUGCCCUUUAUGUCUUGGGCUACACACGUACUACAAUGGUCGGAAACAGAGGGAAGCGAAGCCGCGAGGCAGAGCAAACCCCAGAAACCCGAUCUCAGUUCGGAUCGCAGGCUGCAACCCGCCUGCGUGAAGUCGGAAUCGCUAGUAAUCGCAGAUCAGCAUGCUGCGGUGAAUACGUUCCCGGGCCUUGUACACACCGCCCGUCACACCAUGAGAGUCGGGAACACCCGAAGCCUGUAGCCUAACCAUUCGGAGGGCGCAGUCGAAGGUGGGUUCGAUAAUUGGGGUG
rnacentral:rRNA from 1 species